GAUGAACGCUGGCGGCGUGCCUAAUACAUGCAAGUCGAGCGAACGGACGAGAAGCUUGCUUCUCUGAUGUUAGCGGCGGACGGGUGAGUAACACGUGGAUAACCUACCUAUAAGACUGGGAUAACUUCGGGAAACCGGAGCUAAUACCGGAUAAUAUUUUGAACCGCAUGGUUCAAAAGUGAAGGACGGUCUUGCUGUCACUUAUAGAUGGAUCCGCGCUGCAUUAGCUAGUUGGUAAGGUAACGGCUUACCAAGGCAACGAUGCAUAGCCGACCUGAGAGGGUGAUCGGCCACACUGGAACUGAGACACGGUCCAGACUCCUACGGGAGGCAGCAGUAGGGAAUCUUCCGCAAUGGGCGAAGGCCUGACGGAGCAACGCCGCGUGAGUGAUGAAGGUCUUCGGAUCGUAAAACUCUGUUAUUAGGGAAGAACAUAUGUGUAAGUAACUGUGCACAUCUUGACGGUACCUAAUCAGAAAGCCACGGCUAACUACGUG
rnacentral:rRNA from 1 species